rnacentral:rRNA from 1 species
UACGGAAGGUCCGGGCGUUAUCCGGAUUUAUUGGGUUUAAAGGGAGCGUAGACGGCUAAUCAAGUCAGAAGUGAAAACCCAGGGCUCAACUUUGGGACUGCUUUUGAAACUGAGUAGCUAGAGUGCAGGAGAGGUAAGCGGAAUUCCUAGUGUAGCGGUGAAAUGCGUAGAUAUUAGGAGGAACACCAGUGGCGAAGGCGGCUUACUGGACUGUAACUGACGUUGAGGCUCGAAAGCGUGGGGAGCAAACAGG